GCCACCCUCUCGGCCUGCACCUGAGCGCCACCUUUUCCGGUGUCCUCGGGGAGGAGGAGAAGAAACAGGAAGUGUUUCCGGUGUUUUUGCUGCUCCAAUGACUGAUCCUUAUCUAUUGCACUUUCGAUAUGAGUCUAAACUAAGUACCGUACCCUCCAUCGCUUCACCGAUCCGACGGUCCACAUCGGCGAUCGGGCUCCUCCAUCUUCUCUGCGUUCGGCCGCUGCUUCCGUACCCCCGAAUCGCUGUUCCCAAUAGGGUUCUUGUUACAGAACUGAAGAGUAUGAUGAGGAUAAAGGAGACUGACGAAUAUGAAGAGGAUGCAUCUGAACAUGAUGGAGAAGAUGAACAAGAAACUCCAAGACCCACCAAGGAGGAAUGAGAAUUUCACAUGUUGAGGGAACAACUAAAGGACAGGAUUAGAAGAAAUCUUGAAAAAACAAAUGCCAAGGCUUUUUGUCAUUUGUCUCAAACCCAUGACAAGAGAAGAACAAUACCAAAUGGCAUCCUUCUACACAAAACUUAUCGCAUGGCAACCUUGAUGAUUGCUAAAAGAGAGCCUGCUGAAAGAAAUUUAAGUGAUGAGGAAGACUUUAAUUAUCACUAUCUUAUCAGGGGAAUGUUCAGGUACAAUCCUAGUAAAUAUUCAGGGAUUGAUGAGGAUGACAGCGAUCAUGGAAGUUGGUUGUGAUGUAACACAGAAAGAAGAGCGAAUAAGUUAUGGAUGCAUGUUUCUUCAUCAUGUUCCAAGAUUGCCAGAAAGGAGGACGAAGAGCAGCUUCGCUCGAUUGUGGAAGAAGAGGCACUGCAGAGAUAGCUGAGAAGAAUGAAGGAAAAGCUAAAGCAUGGCUAGGUGAUGCUGCAGAGCUGAUAACAUCUCCCAAGUUUACCUCAUUGUAGAUUGCCAAUGAAGAAGUAAUGAAGCACAGCUACGGGUUGAAAGUUAACCAGAAAAAAAGAGAGAAUUCUUAUUCAAAGUUUUUGGAAGAAAGCUCAUCGUGCAGUGCAUGCGAUAUACGCAAAAAUGGAUUUAAUGAUUUUUUUUGUGAGAACUGUUACCUCGCUACUGCAACAACAACGACAAGCCUUAGUGUCUCAAUUAUUUUUUUGUUAAAAAUCUUAAUGUAUUCCUCAUCCUUGCCAAUGUGAUUACAAUGCAGUACUUGUUGUUGCUCCAGCAAGAAUCAUUGUUCUGAGAAAUUUUGAGGCAUUAUUGUAUAAA